GGAUAUGAUGGCAAUCUGGCAACAUCUGUCACCCCAUGGGUCAAUUUGGCUGAUGUGACUGGCUAGGCUGGUGUCCCCUUCCUCCCUCGCCACUCCCUGUACAUCCUUCCUGAAAUUGCAGGCUCGGUUGAAGAGGACCAUCUUUCCUGAUAGAGGAGGAUUGUUCUUUGGUCAAGGGUUUGGGAUUAGCUGCACUCUCCCACUAGAACUUUCCAACAGGCUCUCAAGGUCCAUUUGUAGUGGAACAUAAGAUAGUCAAGCUUCCAGGAUUCAAGACACAUCCAAAUGAGGUGCUGCAUGUGGCAGUCUGCCGUUCUUU
ensembl:misc_RNA 7SK 7SK RNA